rnacentral:rRNA from 1 species
GACAGCAGUAGCCGCGGUAAUACGAAGGGGGCUAGCGUUGCUCGGAAUGACUGGGCGUAAAGGGCGCGUAGGCGGCUGUCACAGUCAGAUGUGAAAUUCCUGGGCUCAACCUGGGGACUGCAUUUGAGACGUGGUGGCUUGAGUGAAGAAGAGGGUCGUGGAAUUUCCAGUGUAGAGGUGAAAUUCGUAGAUAUGCGGAGGAACACCGAUGGCGAAGGCAAUCCCCUGGGCCUGCACUGACGCUCAUGCACGAAAGCGUGGGGAGCAAACAGGAUUAGAUACCCCCGUAGUCCCUGUCUCUUAUAC